ACAUUACAACGAGUAUAUCGUAGCUUUGGUAUGUUACGUACAUUCGCUUAUUACGUGCAUUCUGUGCGUACUUCUACGUAGACGCAUAAAAAUCCGCUGUCUAGUGAUCAGCUUGCAGUUUGCACGCGCUGGAUCUGCGCGAAGGCAGAUCGUAUCUGCUCCCUUGGAACGUAUCAAUUGUACAACAUGUGCGCUCGCGCGCGCACGCUCGAUAAAUCAACAUCAAGCGAGGCGAUGUACAAACAAGUGUUCCAUGGUGUAUCCCGGAGAAUCGAGACUUCGUUUCCUUUUUUCCAUCCUGCUCUGUGUUUUUUCACCGGUUACUGUCUCUGUCGUUUUGUAGGGCGUACGAGCCUAGAUGCAUUCCGUGGAUGUGAAUCACUGCAGCGGAGGCUAAAAUAAUUGGACGGGUCGUCGAUCCGAUAAUAUUCAGCUAAUAUCAUCAGUGAAACUUCACAACUAAGAAUUCGUCAUCACGCGCUAAUAGAUUACGGUGAUUACAAGAGAAGGGAAUUUGACAUUCCUUGAACAAACUUUCCUUUUGACGAGUAAAAGUUAUACCCUCGUGGCAAACCAUAGUCAUCAAGCUGUCAAUUUAGAUCGCUUAAAAAUCGUUUGUAUCCCGCUUUGGCGAAUUGGUAACGGG